UGUCUCUGUUAAUAACUUUGUAGGGGC
rnacentral:sRNA from 1 species